rnacentral:rRNA from 1 species
GAUUGAUCAUGGCUCAGGAUGAACGCUGGCGGCGUGCCUAACACAUGCAAGUCGAACUAACCUGAUCUUCGGAAAGGGUUAGUGGCGGAUGGGUGAGUAACACGUAGGUGACCUACCCUGGCGAGGGGGAUAACUGCUGGAAACGGUAGCUAAUACCCCGUACGAUCACCGGAUCGGACUGGUGAUGAAAGGCGAAAGCCGUGCUGGGAGGGGCCUGCGGCCCAUCAGGUAGUUGGUGGGGUAACGGCCUACCAAGCCGAUGACGGGUAGCUGGUCUGAGAGGAUGGUCAGCCACACUGGAACUGAAACACGGUCCAGACUCCUACGGGAGGCAGCAGUGAGGAAUAUUGCGCAAUGGGCGAAAGCCUGACGCAGCAACGCCGCGUGGGUGAAGAAGGCCUUCGGGUCGUAAAGCCCUUUCCUGAGGGAAGAGGAAGGACGGUACCUCAGGAAUAAGUCUCGGCUAACUACGUGCCAGCAGCCGCGGUAAAACGUAGGAGGCGAGCGUUAUUCGGAUUUACUGGGCGUAAAGCGCAUGCAGGUGGCCAUGCAAGUGGGAUGUGAAAGCCCUUGGCUUAACUGGGGGAGGUCGUACCAAACUGCAUGGCUGGAGGUCGGGAGAGGAAAGCGGAAUUCCCGGUGUAGUGGUGGAAUGCGUAGAUAUCGGGAGGAACACCAGUGGCGAAAGCGGCUUUCUGGCCCGCACCUGACACUAAGAUGCGAAAGCGUGGGGAGCGAAUGGGAUUAGAUACCCCGGUAGUCCACGCUGUAAACGACGGGUACUGGGUAUCGGCGGUAUUGACCCCGUCGGUGCCGAAGCCAACGCGUUAAGUACCCCGCCUGGGGACUACGGCCGCAAGGUUAAAACUCAAAGGAAU